GACGAACGCUGGCGGCGUGCUUAACACAUGCAAGUCGAACGAUGAAGCUCUAGCUUGCUGGGGUGGAUUAGUGGCGAACGGGUGAGUAACACGUGAGUAACCUGCCCUUUACUUCGGGAUAAGCUUGGGAAACUGGGUCUAAUACCGGAUAUUCUGCAUGGUCGGAUGGUUGUGUAGGAAAGAUUUUUUGGUAAGGGAUGGGCUCGCGGCCUAUCAGUUUGUUGGUGGGGUGAUGGCCUACCAAGGCGACGACGGGUAGCCGGCCUGAGAGGGCGACCGGCCACACUGGGACUGAGACACGGCCCAGACUCCUACGGGAGGCAGCAGUGGGGAAUAUUGCACAAUGGGGGAAACCCUGAUGCAGCGACGCCGCGUGGGGGAUGACGGCCUUCGGGUUGUAAACCUCUUUCAGUAGGGAAGAAGCGAAAGUGACGGUACCUGCAGAAGAAGUACCGGCUAACUACGUGCCAGCAGCCGCGGUAAUACGUAGGGUACUAGCGUUGUCCGGAAUUAUUGGGCGUAAAGAGCUCGUAGGUGGUUUGUCGCGUCUGCUGUGGAAACGUGCCGCUUAACGGUGCGCGUGCAGUGGGUACGGGCGGACUAGAGUGCAGUAGGGGAGUCUGGAAUUCCUGGUGUAGCGGUGAAAUGCGCAGAUAUCAGGAGGAACACCGGUGGCGAAGGCGGGACUCUGGGCUGUUACUGACGCUGAGGAGCGAAAGCAUGGGGAGCGAACAGG
rnacentral:rRNA from 1 species